GACGAACGCUGGCGGCGUGCUUAACACAUGCAAGUCGAACGGAAAGGCCCUGCUUUUGUGGGGUGCUCGAGUGGCGAACGGGUGAGUAACACGUGAGUAACCUGCCCUUGACUUUGGGAUAACUUCAGGAAACUGGGGCUAAUACCGGAUAGGAGCUCCUGCUGCAUGGUGGGGGUUGGAAAGUUUCGGCGGUUGGGGAUGGACUCGCGGCUUAUCAGCUUGUUGGUGGGGUAGUGGCUUACCAAGGCUUUGACGGGUAGCCGGCCUGAGAGGGUGACCGGCCACAUUGGGACUGAGAUACGGCCCAGACUCCUACGGGAGGCAGCAGUGGGGAAUAUUGCACAAUGGGCGGAAGCCUGAUGCAGCAACGCCGCGUGCGGGAUGACGGCCUUCGGGUUGUAAACCGCUUUCGCCUGUGACGAAGCGUGAGUGACGGUAAUGGGUAAAGAAGCACCGGCUAACUACGUGCCAGCAGCCGCGGUGAUACGUAGGGUGCGAGCGUUGUCCGGAUUUAUUGGGCGUAAAGGGCUCGUAGGUGGUUGAUCGCGUCGGAAGUGUAAUCUUGGGGCUUAACCCUGAGCGUGCUUUCGAUACGGGUUGACUUGAGGAAGGUAGGGGAGAAUGGAAUUCCUGGUGGAGCGGUGGAAUGCGCAGAUAUCAGGAGGAACACCAGUGGCGAAGGCGGUUCUCUGGGCCUUUCCUGACGCUGAGGAGCGAAAGCGUGGGGAGCGAACAGGCUUAGAUACCCUGGUAGUCCACGCUGUAAACGGUGGGUACUAGGUGUGGGGUCCAUUCCACGGGUUCCGUGCCGUAGCUAACGCUUUAAGUACCCCGCCUGGGGAGUACGGCCGCAAGGCUAAAACUCAAAGGAAUUGACGGGGCCCCGCACAAGCGGCGGAGCAUGCGGAUUAAUUCGAUGCAACGCGUAGAACCUUACCUGGGUUUGACAUGGAUCGGGAGUGCUCAGAGAUGGGUGUGCCUCUUUUGGGGUCGGUUCACAGGUGGUGCAUGGCUGUCGUCAGCUCGUGUCGUGAGAUGUUGGGUUAAGUCCCGCAACGAGCGCAACCCUUGUUCACUGUUGCCAGCACGUUAUGGUGGGGACUCAGUGGAGACCGCCGGGGUCAACUCGGAGGAAGGUGGGGAUGACGUCAAGUCAUCAUGCCCCUUAUGUCCAGGGCUUCACGCAUGCUACAAUGGCUGGUACAGAGAGUGGCGAGCCUGUGAGGGUGAGCGAAUCUCGGAAAGCCGGUCUCAGUUCGGGUUGGGGUCUGCAACUCGACCUCAUGAAGUCGGAGUCGCUAGUAAUCGCAGAUCAGCAACGCUGCGGUGAAUACGUUCCCGGGGCU
rnacentral:rRNA from 1 species